rnacentral:rRNA from 1 species
UACGUAGGGUGCGAGCGUUGUCCGGAAUUAUUGGGCGUAAAGAGCUUGUAGGCGGUUUGUCGCGUCUGCUGUGAAAAUCCGGGGCUCAACCCCGGACUUGCAGUGGGUACGGGCAGGCUAGAGUGUGGUAGGGGAGGACUGGAAUUCCUGGUGUAGCGGUGGAAUGCGCAGAUAUCAGGAGGAACACCGGUGGCGAAGGCGGGUCUCUGGGCCGUAACUGACGCUGAGGAGCGAAAGCGUGGGGAGCGAACAGG